rnacentral:rRNA from 1 species
UACGUAGGGGGCCAGCGUUGUCCGGACUUACUGGGCGUAAAGCGCGCGCAGGCGGACCUGUAUGUGCCGUGUGAAAGCGCCGGACUUACUUCGGCGAGGUCAUGGUAGACAGCAGGUCUGGAGCCUCGGAGAGGUCGGUGGAAUUCCGGGUGGAGCGGUGAAAUGCGUAGAGAUCCGGAGGAACAUCAGUGGCGAAAGCGACUUCCUGGACCAAUACUGACGCUCAUGUGCGAAAGCGUGGGGAGCAAACAGG